AUGCACAGUCUUAAAGCGGCUGAGGCGUACUUAAAUCGAGCCAUCACAGAAUCAUCCACACAGAUAGAGAAGGACUGUUUCAAGAUUGCAUUUGUUAUUUUUGUAGUCGGUAAUGUACUUGCUCCUACUGCUAAGCACGAUUAUAUAUCGAUAGACUUUUGGGCUGCACUGAAUGAUAUCAGCAAGAUAAAGGAUUGGAAUUGGGGAGGAUAUGUACUUAAGCAUCUGUUUCAAGCUAUGAGGAAGUUCAAAGCAGAUGUGUCCAAGAGAAACCCAACUGUCCACAUAGUUGGCUGUCAUCUGUUCCUGCAGCUUUUCGUACUAGAUAGUCUUGAUCUAGGCGUUCUAAACAUGUUGCGAGGUGUAACACCGCGGAUAGGUCUGUACAACUAUGAUGCGAUGAAGAAGAUGGUGGAAAAAAUUACAGUCAAUGUUGGUGCGGGUGAAGUUUCCUUCCACGGUGCAACGGUACGGACCGAGCUGUCAGUGAGCAAUCUAAUUGGCUUCCCUUCUAAGGAAUGUCCCACAGCAAAGCCAGCAAAGCCGGCACCGGCUCCCAAGAGGGGAAACGCCACAUGCACGCCGAUGUUGCGAAGUAGUUAUGCCAAAACUGGUCCGCAGGAGUUUUCAAAUUACAUACGAACACGCUACCCAAGUAUAUCAGCGCAGAAGCUUGGUAUACUUCUACGGGAGCAGAAUGCUCGCGGCCUAGCAAACAUAUCAGAAAUGCGUCAAGCGUUCCAGUCCAAUAUGUUCAAUUUCACAGACAAGCUUAUGUCAUGCUUAGCAGAGAGUUGCACUUGUUGUAAGGCACAUGGCAACAAAAAAUGCAUCUUGGAAAAUGAAGGAACAAAUACUUGCGAUCCCCCCUCAUGUAUCAACAGAUCAAACUCAAUUCAGCAUGUCGUUAGCCAGCAAGAUUGGACCCCGACUACCAGCACCAGGCAACCCUGGAGGUUGCCUGUCUGUCAAUAG
rnacentral:rRNA from 1 species